UCGAACCCUAGCAUAGUGCAUGUGAGGUUUAACUCAGUGGUGGCUCCACGCCGUGAUGAGUUCUCGACUCCAUCCACGGGUAGCCCUUUCCUACUCGAGCCCUCUCACCCUGCCCAAAUGCUAGGUCGGCUCUGAUACCAAAUGUCACGACCCGGGUCUAAUGAGCUAACUGGCCGAUAACUCCAUUUUGGUCCUUGCAACCACGGACCAAAAUGCUU
rnacentral:lncRNA from 1 species